rnacentral:lncRNA from 10 species
GGGGCCGCGGGGCUGAACCUGACACACACCCAGCGCCGGGCUUCUCGACCCCGAGCGCUCACCCUCGGCGGCUUCGAGCCCCCCACCUUCUGCUCCCCCCGGGGAAGGGAGGAGGCUAGGUAGGCGAGGAAAAGGAAGGGGCGGGCGGUGCGAGCCCUCUGCCCGCUCCCCUCCGGCCGCUCCAGGCCCUGCGCUCGCCUCCCUUCCCCUCUGGCCUCGGGAGCUGCCCCGCCCCCGGCCUGGCCGGCUCUGGUCGGUGGCACCCCCUCGACCCCCGGCUGACUGUGAUCGCAGGCGGCCUAGAGGUGCAUGGCCCAACCCCGGCUCCCGGCACCGGGGGGUCAGGAAACUGAGCGGAAAGUGGGGAACGAGGCAGCCAUUUGCAACCGGAGAGGAAAGUAGUGCAGCGCGGCGCCGCUCCGCCUCCCCCCCUCCGCCUCCUGUUCGGCCGGUAGGGUGGUUCCUGCGAAGGGGCUAUUUCCUGGCCCAAGAGCUGGGCAGCGGUCGUGAAGAUUCGUGAAGCCUUCGGCGCUAGAUCCGGGGGGGCCUUUUGCCCGGGGCACCCCACUCGAGAGGGGGAGAAAGGAGAAGAGGCGGCCCUAUUUUGUGUUGGAGCGGAGCGGCGGAGGGAUCCCGCCCUCUCGGAGGAAAGGCUGUGACUCUGCAGUUCUACGCACACGCUGCGGGAUCCUUCCGCUCCGGGUUAACCCCGACCGCGCCGGGCCGGCAGCAGGGCAGACACGUGGGAACGAAGCCCCCCUCCUCUCCGCCGCGGCCCUGGAGCCGCCUCAUUUACCGCCCAGGCCGCGAAACUAGGACUCUGGCCGCUGUCUAAUUCCAUACCCUUGCAGUCGUUGGUCCCUGAAGUUCCAACUGCCCCUUGCUUUGGCCAGGGGCAGUCUUUCCCGGGAGGGGGAUGGAAGAAGAGCCAGGAGAUUGGCCGCUGCUCAGCAUCCUGGGAACUGGAGUCCGCAAAUGGAGAAAGUGAGAUUCUGGAUCAGAAAAGCAAAAGCAGCUGUCAGGACUUUUGAAAAUCAGCAUGACAAGCCAUAUCCCCAACUGUAAGCCUGGAGCCAGGCACUGACAAAGUCACAGCUAAAAAUCACAUCUAGGUUUUGUCAAUCCUUCCCAAGUAAGUACAUUGAUAGGGUACCUCGGGCUCCCCCAGUUGUCAGAAGAGGUCUGUACCUUCUCUGUGAAGAUCUACCAUUCAAAUAACCCUUACACAUCCUUGGAGGAGGUAUUAGACUAGUUAGGCAAUCAGGCUGGUGGGAGGGUGGGGAUCAAGAAAAGCAGAGGCAAACAGGACCAAACUUUCCUAGCUGAAAUAUCAAUUCAUUGAGGCGGUAGGCCCAUAAAAGCAGAACCAAUAGCCUUUGACACCUAAAAAAAAGUAGCACACCACCAAAGGUGUAAAAAGUACAAAAAGAUUAAAGGUAUGAAAACAGCAAAGAACGGCCAUUUUAAUGGAAGACACUGGGGACAUGGAGGGCCAGGGGACUGAUAUGCACCGGAGGCAUUAUUUCUUACUUUACUCAACACUCUUGGGAAGUCAAAGUCUUCACAACACUUUAGUCUCUGCCUCUACACUCCUUCUCAAUUCUUACAUCAUUAGGAAUGAGGGGCUUCCUUUCUUCUCCUGAAACCCCAUCAUCUUUGAAUCCAAGCAAAUGCCGAGGCCCCAGGAAGACAGCUAGGUCAGCAUGUUGCAGUUGGCCACUAGAGGGUGGUGUUUCUGUAAUUAAGGGGAUCUUGAAAGGCUACAAAACUUGGAUGGGAGUGGCAGCCAACUGGACUUAGUAUAUGAGGAACCCAGCAGAAUAGAAAGGUGGGAAAGGCAAGUAGUAAAUCUUAGGAUAAUGGUCCUUAAUAAGUGAGGAAUAAGGAAUAGGAACAAGGUAGGAGGAAAGAUAUCCCACCAAAGACCACAGCCAUCACUCCUUGGAAAAAGAGAUCUUGGCUCUGAGCUCUCACUAGAUACAUAGAAGUCAACAAUAAAAUAAGGCCGGGGGCAGUGGCUCACGCCUGUAAUCCCAGCACUUUGGGAGGCUGAGGUGGGUGGAUCACUUAAGGUCAGGAGUUCGAGACCAUCCUGGCCUAGGUGAAACCUCAUCUCUACUAAAAAUAAAAAAGUUAGCUAGGCAUGGUGGCGGGUGCCUGCAGAAGACUGAGGCAGGAGAACUGCUUGAACCUGGGAGGCGGAGGUUGCAGCGAGCCAAGAUUGCAGCACUGCACCACUCCAGCCUGGGCAACAGAGUGAAACUCCG